rnacentral:rRNA from 1 species
GACGCUGGCGGUCAGGCUAACACAUGCAGUCGAACGGUAGCACACGAGAGCUUGGCUCUCGAGGUGACGAGUGGCGUGACGGGUGAGUUAAGUGUCUGGGAAACUGCCUGAUGGAGGGGGAUAACUACAUGGAAACGGUAGCUAAUACCGCAUAACGUCGCAAGACCAAAGAGGGGGACCUUCGGGCCUCUUGCCAUCAGAUGUGCCCAGAUGGGAUUAGCUAGUAGGUGGGGUAACGGCUCACCUAGGCGACGAUCCCUAGCUGGUCUGAGAGGAUGACCAGCCACACUGGAACUGAGACACGGUCCAGACUCCUACGGGAGGCAGCAGUGGGGAAUAUUGCACAAUGGGCGCAAGCCUGAUGCAGCCAUGCCGCGUGUAUGAAGAAGGCCUUCGGGUUGUAAAGUACUUUCAGCGGGGAGGAAGGUGUUGUGGUUAAUAACCACAGCAAUUGACGUUACCCGCAGAAGAAGCACCGGCUAACUCCGUGCCAGCAGCCGCGGUAAUACGGAGGGUGCAAGCGUUAAUCGGAAUUACUGGGCGUAAAGCGCACGCAGGCGGUCUGUCAAGUCGGAUGUGAAAUCCCCGGGCUCAACCUGG